ACGUCUGCGGUGUUGCCCACCACUGCCUGGGACCUGGCCAAGGGCUCCACACACCAAGACCAAGGCAGCAGGAAGGAGAAAGGAGGGAAGGUAAAAGACUACUGAAAAGCUUUCAGCUGGGGCUGGGCAUGGAGGCUCACACCUGUAAUCCCAACACUUUGGGAAGCCGAGGCUGGUGGAUCACUUGAGCCCACGAGUCUGAGACCAGCCUGGCCAACAUGGCAAAACCCUGUCUCUACAAAAAAUACAAGAAUUAGCCAUGUGCACCUGUGGUCCCAGCUCCCAGGGCCGGGAGCCUGAAACCAAGGUGUCCACAGGGCCCUGCUGCCCCCAGAGGCUCUGGGCAGAGCCCUUCCGCCUUUCCAGCUCCCCCUGGUUCCCGUGCUCCUCGGCCUGUGGCCCCAUCACUCUGGCCUCUGCCUUCAUCUCAUGCCGAGAUCCCUGAAGCGGGCCCAGCUCUGUUCACUGCUCCCCCGGCCUCCUGCUGUUUCCCACACGCAGCCACGGUACAGGGCAGCUCAUCCAACCACCUCCCCAACCGCAGCCUCCAGGGAUGUACACCCUGCCUCAGGGGCUCUGCCUGGGUCCUGGCUGGUGGAGGGCACAGCCGUCAGGGAAGGCCCUCAGCUGCAGGAUGCCGUGCCACGGAGACCAACCAGGCCCUCUAAGGCACUGUGGCCGGCCCAGAUGUCAGCAGCUCCAGAAAUUAGGCUGGGACAGAUGGUGCCUGGUGACGCAAGGGGACUGUGGGGGCCACAGGGGACCCUGCUCACCUGGACCUACCGUGGAGGCCAGGGAGGGAGAUGGACUCGAAGGGCGGAAGGGCCCAGAGAAGGCACAUUUGCAGAGCAGCGGCCGCAUUUCCAGAGCUCGGGAGCCCAACAGGAAUCCCGUCUGGCCAUGGGACCACCGCCCUUGGGGCUGGGGGAUGCUGCAGGGGACGGCAGAGGGCAGACAGGCCAGGAAAAGGGGAGGGCAGAGGGCAGACAGGCCAGGGAGAGCGCCUGCAAGUGCCCAAGGAAGGGACCAAGCCCGGGCCCCUGGACCAGAGCGGCCGCCUGGUGGGGCAGGCUGGAAGGGGCCAAGGCCAGCGCCAAGGGGGAGCAGGUGAGGGACCCUGGUGGGCAUCUGUGGGAACAAGGCCACGUUUCUCCCUGCGCACGCUUUAAUCAAGGACAUUCCUGUGGUUCUCGAAAAGUGUCGCACAUUACAUGGGUGUCGUGAGCUGGGCUCCGUGAGAGUGUGUGGGUGGCUGGGGGCAGCAAGGGAGCAGCAAGGCCUCAAACCCGGGCGGCGGCCUGGCCUGCGCGCCAGGAUGUGCGGUGUGAGUUUCCCGAGCUGCAGGAACAAGGUCCACAGACUGGGGAGCUUCACACAACAGAAACUGCCUCGCAGUUCCCGAGGCCAGAGCCCAUCGGGGUGGCUCUCUGAGGCCGUGAGCCAGGACUGUCCUGGGCCGCCCCCUCUUCCACAGGCUGAGACCAUCCUUGGCGUCUGUUGGCCUGCGGCCGCCUCGCCCAACCUCUGCCCUCAUGUCCACACGGGUCCUCCCUGUGUGCAUGUUGGUGUCUGGAUCUGCCCUUUCUACUGUGGGGCAACUGUCGUCGAGGAUAGGGCCCACCACACAACACGGCCUCGUUGUAACUAAGUAUAGUCGGCAGUGAUCCUAUUUCCCAAUAAGGUCCCAUUCUGAGGUCCUGGACUUCAACAUGUGAAUUUUGGGGGCCACAACUCUACCCUGGCAUGCAGAGAGAGAAGGGGUGCGUGGAGCCCCUCAGCGGGAAGUCCCUUGGGAAGUCGCAGGCCCCCUUGGUGGGGCAAUUGGGACGUGGGUGUGAGGGUCCUGGGUACAGGGAGCCUGCCUACCAAGGCUCUGCCAACAGCUAUUUCUAAAUUCCUCGUGGAAAAUACCCUGUGGCCCUCCUCAUCUGGAGCGAGCGACAGGCUGGAGGGUGUCUGAGCCAGGCUGGUGCCGGGGAGCAGAUGCGGGUGACCCAACCCAGCCCCUUGUUCUUGUUCCCC
rnacentral:lncRNA from 1 species